rnacentral:misc_RNA from 1 species
CGCCGAGAACCUACAGGUGCCGACGAUCUUGCUUCCGUUAGCCUAGGCUUCUUCAACGUGAAGCCACAAGAACGCGUGUGAAUACAAGAUUGAAUCUUGAACAAAAUAAUAAAAUCACAAUAAUCGCAAGACCGAAAGCAAUGCGAAUGAAAAGUUAAAUGGUUUUUAAACCGAAAAUACACAAAAACCGCGAGAUUUAUCGUCCAAAUAAAAUGAUGCUGCUUACGAAACUGAUAAUCUAAUAAAUAAAAAAUUGCCCCACAAUUUUAGGAAACCAAACCAAAAAUCGAUAAUUCUUAAAGAAAAAAAGAUUAAUUAUAGAGGCUCAAGAAUAAUAUAUUGUAAUACAUGACGUGCAAAUAUCUAUUGUCAACAUCAAUCAUGUCACCUAGACCAAUAUGGAGUUGGUGUCCACCAAUGAAUAUCCUUCGAAAAAACCAUUUAUUAAAACUAUCAGGGCUUUGUGACUUAAUACCAUUCUUUGUAAUCUUUUUUUUGGCUCAACCUUGUUUAACGGAGGCGCAAAUUGAUAGCACAGUGAGUGAACAGGAAACCAAAUCUGUUACCCUUCCAUGUCCCGUUAAUGAAGGAAAAUGUGGAAAACUACAUUCAUUAAACUGGUUCAAAGGAGAAGACCGUAUUGCUGCAAUGCUCUUGGGGGAAACAAAUGUUACGAAUGUAAAUAAGGAAUACAAGAACAGGGUAACUGUUGAGCUAAAUCCAUACAGACUUAUAAUUAACGACUUAAAAAUUGGAGAUGAAGAUAUUUAUCUUUGUGAUACAACAUUUUUUAUACCAGAAGAAACAUGCGAUAACUUCAAUGGGUACCGAAUUGAACUACGAGUAUUAGUGCCACCAUCGGAAGUUAUAAUUUUGGAUGUGAAGGGCGACCGAAUUGAAAAUGGAAGUGUAGUGGGUCCAAUGCAAGAGCGUCAGUCUCUCAAAGCAGCUUGUACUGUAAAAAAUACACGUCCUCAGCCAGAUGUGGGAUGGUUUCGUGGAUCCAAGCGACUGACAACAUAUUCACCUACGCAUGACAUUAAAGAUGGUCUUUUUACGUCAACACUAGAAUUGGAUUGGUUAUUAUCACGUGAAGAUCUGGCUCAAGAUAUAGAAUGCCGUGUAAAGUCGGCAGCUAUGCCAGAAACUAUUGUUCAAAAAUUUAGUAUAAACUUGCAAGUGCGGCCAACGAGUAUUGAAAUGAAUGGUGUAGAGCAUCAUACGGUUCAAGGCAGCAAAGUGAUUUUAACUUGUGAUAUUCACGGAGCGCGGCCACCAGUUAACCUUACUUGGUAUAACAUUACAUCACCCAUAGCAACAGAGGAAAAUAUUGUUACCGAGAUUCGUACUAGAGCAUUUGAGAAAAACGAUGGUACAUAUCAUACUCAGUCUGAACUCAUUUUUAAUGCGACUCGUUUUGAGAAUGACCGAGUAUUUCGCUGUGAGGCUGAAAAUAUAGUGAUACAAAUUAAUCGAGAAAAGCCAAUCUCUUCCGCGCUCACAUUGGAAGUCUUAUAUCCUCCAGUUGUCAAAGUCAGCCCACCUGAGGUGGUUACCAAUACAAGUGAAAUCGUUUUACUUAAUUGUGAAUAUGUGGCAAACCCAGCGUCACUAACAAAUGUUGUAUGGUAUCGGAACAAUGAAGUCGUGAAUGUCAAUAAUACAGAUCGUUAUCAGGGGGGUAAUUCAGAGAAUGUGGCUCUCGUUAUCAAGUCUACCGAAAAAGAUGAUACAGGAAAUUAUUCGUGUCAGUUAUCAAAUUCUAUUGGAAAAGGAACUUCUGAGCAGGAAAUCAAUCUGGAUGUGCAGUAUGUUCCUACUGUGGAGGUUGUAAUGAUUCCCGAGGGCCCUGUAAAAGAAAGCGACGAGUCAAAUGUUACCCUGUUCUGUAAUAUACUGGAUGCUAACCCAUCAAUUCUAACCAAAGUGAGAUGGUACGCAAACUCAACACUACUUAAGGAACUUCCCGACUGCGAAGAAACUAAUGAAGACCUUUGCCAUAUUGAUCCAAGUAAACUAUUAUUGGAGAGUAUAGGACGCGGCUUUUUCUACAAUUAUUCUUGCGAGGGAUUGAAUUCUGCUGGCUGGGGACCACGAAGUGAAGAUAAGGAGCUUAUAGUACAUUAUGAACCAGGACCGGCUACACUUUCUAAUUUUCCCUUAAUCGCUGUAAAAAAAAAAAGCGUAGUAUUCACUUGUUCCGUAGAAGAUCCUGGAUAUCCAGACACAAAUAGGUUUGUAACUAAACAAGCCGAUCAGAAUAACAAUAAAAAGACAAUAUCAUACCCCAUACUUAUUACUUACCACACAGUUAAAGCAUUGCAAUCUAAUGAAGCUGACAUUGCUUUAGAAUCUUUUCUUUUGCAAAAAAUACCGCGACAAUUAAAUGCACCAUCGGAAGACUUAUCACAAACGUUGCUAUCGAGUGAAUCCAGUCCAUUCAAUGAAAUUAAAGAAACACAUGCUUUAAUUGACUUGAAUUAUAAUAAUUCCCCAUGUACAUUACUCACGCUCACUACAUACAUGAAAAAAUCACAACUAGUAGUCCUUUACACGGGACUACAAUCAAAUCUUGUAUCAUCCACCUACGCCCUCUAUCGUAAAAUGGGAAAGUUUAAAUUCAAUGCUCAAAUGAUUUCAAAACCUAACAGAUAUCGUUGGCUACGCGGAGGACGCGGUCCGCUGCAGGACAUUGUUACAAAAGAUUGGACGGUGGAACCAGUAGGACUUGACAGUCGUACCAACUAUUCUUGCUAUGCUUACAAUGAAGGCGGUAAGGGAAUUAUGGCCACAGUUAAUCUAAAGGUGCACGCACCACCAUUUUUUAUCAAAAACUUACCGCCAUACACUGGAAUCUUGCAUUCUUCACCGAGUGCAAAUUUAACCUGCCGAAUCGAAUGUGUUCCACGAUGUGAAAUAUCAUGGCUUAAGGAUGGCAUCCCCAUUGAGAAAAAUAACACUAAAUACUUCGUAAAAGAAAAAUACAUGGAUCCAUCGCCGGCAACUGGAGAUUUUGAAAGCAUGUUAUCCGUGUUGCAUUUUAACAUGUCCAAUUGGAUACAAAAGAAAUUUGAUAUUGAGGCCGACAAUGAUAACUAUACAUGCCUAUCAACUUCAAAUUCGGUGGGCCCGAGCGUUAAGAGCACCACAUACUUUAGUAUCGAAUAUUCACCAAUCAAUACGACCGUUUCGGAAGAAAAUGUCUAUGUAGAAGAGGGUACUAUACCGGCACGGAUUUUAUGCAAAGCCAGAGCUAAUCCAGAACCUUCAUAUAAAUGGAUAUUUAAAAAUGAAACAAUAGCUAAUGGUAAUACCCUAAUUUUCGACUCUGGUUUACACCGAAACGAAAAUGGUAUAUAUACCUGUAUGGCGUAUAACAAACAUGGAAAUAAUACUGCAAACUCAAUUAUAAACGUGCAGUUUAAACCUGAUUGUGCCAUCAAAAGGGAAAAUAUAGAUGGUCAGGACACUCUAAUUUGUACUGCAUUUGGAAACCCUUUAGAGGCAGAUUUAACUUGGUCAAUUAAAGGUGAAAACGAAACCAUUGAGAAUUUGGGUAGUGGGUACCGCAACGAUCUUUCCGAUAAGAGUUUUUAUGUUUUGAAAGCGGAUUAUGGUAUCACAAGGACGUUCAGAUGUGUAGCCAAUAACACAGUUGGAUCAGGAACAUUUUGUGAAAUUGAAGUCGAUGUGAGACCUAAAAAGCAACUGGCUUGGUGGCAACAAUGGAAAAUAAACAAUAUUGUUCUACUUUUAACUGGAAUUUUAAUUUUAUUACUAAUUGUGGUAAUAAUUUGUUGCAUCAUUAUUUGUGUAUGCCGUCGUCGGCGUCGCCAGGAUAAAUUACACGACAAAUCAUCUUCUAUGGGAGAACCAUUGACGGAACCUUGCGAGUAUGAGAAUCUUCCGUUCCAUGGUCUGCAAACAGCGCCAAACAAGCAUCUUUCCGACUUUGAGGACCCUUUCAAAAGCAGCAAUACCUAUAUAUUCUAAAUUUGAAAAUAUUUAGUUAUUGAAUAAAUAAAAGAUAUGUUAACUUUGCUAUUUAAAAGCCAUUAAAUGCCACAAGUUUUGAUGAUGAAUUUAUUUAUGCUGAUCUCGAAAGUCAACACUACGGACCCAUUAAUUACAAGGCUGCAUCGUUA